rnacentral:rRNA from 1 species
GACGAACGCUGGCGGCGUGCUUAACACAUGCAAGUCGAACGGUGAAAGCGGAGCUUGCUCCGCUGGAUCAGUGGCGAACGGGUGAGUAACACGUGGGCAACCUGCCCCUCACUUCGGGAUAACUCCGGGAAACCGGGGCUAAUACCGGAUAUGACCUCCUUGGGCAUCCUUGGAGGUGGAAAGUUUUUCGGUGAGGGAUGGGCCCGCGGCCUAUCAGCUUGUUGGUGAGGUAGUGGCUCACCAAGGCGACGACGGGUAGCCGGCCUGAGAGGGCGACCGGCCACACUGGGACUGAGACACGGCCCAGACUCCUACGGGAGGCAGCAGUGGGGAAUAUUGCGCAAUGGGCGAAAGCCUGACGCAGCAACGCCGCGUGCGGGAUGACGGCCUUCGGGUUGUAAACCGCUUUCAGCAGGGAAGAAGCCGCAAGGUGACGGUACCUGCAGGAGAAGCACCGGCUAACUACGUGCCAGCCGCCGCGGUAAAAC